rnacentral:rRNA from 1 species
GGAGGGGGCCAGCGUUGUUCGGAAUCAUUGGGCGUAAAGGGCGCGUAGGCGGCUUGGUAAGUCGGUUGUGAAAUCCCUCGGCUCAACUGGGGAACUGCGUCCGAUACUGCCAAGCUCGAGUCCCGGAGAGGGCAGUGGAAUUCCCAGUGUAGCGGUGAAAUGCGUAGAUAUUGGGAGGAACACCGGUGGCGAAGGCGGCUGCCUGGACGGGUACUGACGCUGAGGCGCGAAAGCGUGGGGAGCAAACAGGAUUAGAUACCCUGGUAGUCCACGCUGUAAACGAUGGGCACUUGGUGUUGCGGGUAUCGACCCCUGCAGUGCCGAAGCUAACGCAUUAAGUGCCCCGCCUGGGGAGUACGGUCGCAAGGCUG